GCCUGGCUAGCUCAGUCGGUAGAGCAUGAGACUCUUAAUCUAAGGGUCGUGGGUUCGAGCCUCACGUUGGGCG
rnacentral:tRNA from 1 species